CCGUUGGAGCUCGCUCCAUCUGGGAUAGAACCCUUGAUUUUAAGUACCUUAUGUUUCCUCGGCGGGCUCGCUCGCCGGUGGACAACCAUUAAACUCUUUGUAAUAGCAGUAUCUUCUGAUAAAAACAAAUAGUCA
rnacentral:misc_RNA from 2 species